rnacentral:siRNA from 1 species
UCCACAUCGGUGUAUUUUGAUC